AUUGAACGCUGGCGGCAGGCCUAACACAUGCAAGUCGAACGAGUGGCGGACGGGUGAGUAAUAUAUGGGAAACUGCCCGAUGGAGGGGGAUAACUACUGGAAACGGUAGCUAAUACCGCAUACUAUCGGCGCUGCCGAGAUGGGAUUAGCUAGUAGGUGGGGUAAUGGCUCACCAAGGCGACGAUCCCUAGCUGGUUUGAGAGGAUGACCAGCCACACUGGAACUGAGACACGGUCCAGACUCCUACGGGAGGCAGCAGUGGGGAAUAUUGGACAAUGGGCGAAAGCCUGAUGCAGCCAUGCCGCGUGUAUGAAGAAGGCCUUCGGGUUGUAAAGUACUUUCAGCAGGGAGGCGGUACUCGCAGAAGAAGCACCGGCUAACUACGUGCCAGCCGCCGCGGUAAUAC
rnacentral:rRNA from 1 species